CACUUGCCUUUGAAAAUCUUUGUGAAA
rnacentral:piRNA from 1 species